rnacentral:rRNA from 1 species
AAAUUGAAGAGUUUGAUCAUGGCUCAGAUUGAACGCUGGCGGCAGGCCUAACACAUGCAAGUCGAACGGUAACAGGAAGCAGCUUGCUGCUUUGCUGACGAGUGGCGGACGGGUGAGUAAUGUCUGGGAAACUGCCUGAUGGAGGGGGAUAACUACUGGAAACGGUGGCUAAUACCGCAUAAUGUCGCAAGACCAAAGAGGGGGACCUUCGGGCCUCUUGCCAUCAGAUGUGCCCAGAUGGGAUUAGCUUGUUGGUGAGGUAACGGCUCACCAAGGCGACGAUC